rnacentral:rRNA from 1 species
UACAGAGGGCUCAAGCGUUGUUCGGAUUCAUUGGGCGUAAAGGGUGCGUAGGUGGCGCGCUAAGUCAGGUGUGAAAUCUCGGGGCUUAACUCCGAAACUGCAUUUGAUACUGGCGUGCUUGAGGACUGGAGAGGAGACUGGAAUUCAUGGUGUAGCAGUGAAAUGCGUAGAGAUCAUGAGGAAGACCAGUGGCGAAGGCGGGUCUCUGGACAGUUCCUGACACUGAGGCACGAAGGCCAGGGGAGCAAACGGG